ensembl:snRNA U6 U6 spliceosomal RNA
GUGCUUGCUUCAGCAGCACAUACACUAAAAAUUGGAACGAUACAGAGAAGAUUAGCACGGCCCCUGCCCAAGGUUGACAAGCAAAUUCCAGAAGUGUUCCAUAUUUUU